rnacentral:rRNA from 1 species
UACAGAGGUGGCAAGCGUUGUUCGGAAUUACUGGGCGUAAAGGGCGCGUAGGCGGCCCGUCAAGUCCCGUGUGAAAGCCCCCGGCUCAACCGGGGAACGGCGCGGGAAACUAGCAGGCUUGAGUUCGGGAGAGGGAAGCGGAAUUCCGGGUGUAGCGGUGAAAUGCGCAGAUAUCAGGAGGAACACCAAUUGCGAAGGCAGCUCGCUGGGACGUGACUGACGCUGAGACGCGAAGCGUGGGGAGCGAACGGG